rfam:TPA: Bos taurus chromosome 8, whole genome shotgun sequence.
UCCCUGGUGGUCCAGUGGUUAGGACUCCAUGACCCCAAUGCAGGGGACCCGGGUUCAAUCCCUGGUCAGGGAA